rnacentral:rRNA from 1 species
GUCGAGAAUAAUUCACAAUGGGGGAAACCCUGAUGGUGCAACGCCGCGUGGAGGAUGAAGGUCUUCGGAUUGUAAACUCCUGUCAUCUGGGAGUAAGACCUGACGGUGAAUAGCCGGCAGGGUUGAUAGUACCAGAAGAGGAAGGGACGGCUAACUUCGUGCCAGCAGCCGCGGUAAUACGAAGGUCCCAAGCGUUGUUCGGAAUCACUGGGCGUAAAGGGAGCGUAGGCGGCGUGGUAAGUCAGAUGUGAAAUCCCGGGGCUCAACCCCGGAACUGCAUCCGAUACUGCCAUGCUUGAGGGUUGGAGAGGUAGCUGGAAUUCUCGGUGUAGCAGUGAAAUGCGUGGAUAUCGAGAGGAACACUCGUGGCGAAGGCGAGCUACUGGACAACAUCUGACGCUGAGGCUCGAAGGCCAGGGGAGCAAAAGGGAUUAGAUACCCCUGUAGUCC